AAAUCGUUUUGGGGACAAAUUUUUUUAUCAAUCCUUUGUAGCGCUCCCAUGCCUCGUAGAGUGACUCACCCGGUUGUUGCUGGAAAUUUGCUAUGACCUUCUUGAUUUU